rnacentral:rRNA from 1 species
UACGGAGGGAGCUAGCGUUGUUCGGAAUUACUGGGCGUAAAGCGCGCGUAGGCGGCUUUGUAAGUUAGAGGUGAAAGCCCGGGGCUCAACCCCGGAACUGCCUUUAAAAACUGCAUCGCUUGAAUCCGGGAGAGGUGAGUGGAAUUCCGAGUGUAGAGGUGAAAUUCGUAGAUAUCGGGAGGAACACCAGUGGCGAAGGCGGCGACCUGGGCCAAUAUUGACGCUGAGGUGCAAAAGCGUGGGGAGCAAACAGG